rnacentral:rRNA from 1 species
GACGAACGCUGGCGGCGUGCUUAAUACAUGCAAGUCGAACGGAAAGGCCCUGUUUUUGUGGGGUGCUCGAGUGGCGAACGGGUGAGUAACACGUAAGUAACCUGCCCCUGACUUUGGGAUAACUUCAGGAAACUGGGGUUAUAACCGGAUAGGAGCUCCUGCUGCACGGUGGGGGUUGGAAAGUUUCGGCGGUUGGGCAUGGACGCGAGGCUUAUCAGCUUGUUGGUGGGGUAGUGGCUUACAAAGGCUUCGACGGGUGGCCGGCCUGAGAGGGUGACCGGCCCCAAAGGGACUCGGAAGGCGCCAAGAGUGCUACGGGAGGCAUGGAUGGGGGUUAGUGCACGAUGGGCGGAAGCCGUAUGCAGCAACGCCGCGUGGGGAAUGACGGCCUGCGGGGUGUAACCCGGGUGCGCCUGGGACGAAGCGUGAGUGACGGUAAUGGGUAAGAAAGCGCCGGCUAACUACGUG